rnacentral:rRNA from 1 species
UACCUACAACUGUUGCUUCGGCGGGUAGGCCGUCCCCUGAAAAGGACGCCUCCCGGCCCGGACCGGACCCCCCGCGGGACCGGACCCGGCGCCCGCCGGAGGAUAACCAAACUCUAUUGUAACGACGUUUCUUCUGAGUGGCAUAAGCAAAAUAAUCAAAACUUUUAACAACGGAUCUCUUGGUUCUGGCAUCGAUGAAGAACGCAGCGAAAUGCGAUAAGUAAUGUGAAUUGCAGAAUUCAGUGAAUCAUCGAAUCUUUGAACGCACAUUGCGCCCGCCAGCAUUCUGGCGGGCAUGCCUGUUCGAGCGUCAUUUCAACCCUCAAGCUCUGCUUGGUGUUGGGGCUCUACGGUCGACGUAGGCCCUCAAAGGUAGUGGCGGACCCUCCCGGAGCCUCCUUUGCGUAGUAACAUUUCGUCUCGCACUGGGAUCCGGAGGGACUCUUGCCGUAAAACCCCCCAAUUUUCCAAAGGUUGACCUCGGAUCAGUAGGAAUACCCGCUGAACUUAAGCAUA